rnacentral:rRNA from 1 species
GACUACCGGGGUAUCUAAUCCUGUUUGCUCCCCACGCUUUCGCGCCUCAGCGUCAAUGUCGGUCCAGUUGGCCGCCUUCGCCACGGGUAUUCUUCCCAAUAUCUACGAAUUUCACCUCUACACUGGGAAUUCUACCAACCUCUCCCGAAUUCAAGCACGACAGUCUCAAACGCAAUUCCCGGGUUGAGCCCAGGGCUUUCACAUCUGACUUGUCGAACCGCCUACGCGCCCUUUACGCCCAGUAAUUCCGAACAACGCUAGCUCCCUUCGUAUUACCGCGGCUGCUGGCACGAAGUUAGCCGGAGCUUAUUCUGUGGGUACCGUCAUCAUCGUCCCCACCAAAAGAACUUUACAACCCGAAGGCCUUCAUCAUUCACGCGGCAUGGCUGGAUCAGGGUUUCCCCCAUUGUCCAAUAUUCCCCACUGCAGCCUCCCGUAGG